CAUGGGAUGCUAGUUUCGUACUGAGAGACUGAACGGACACUGAUGAUGCCAUACUGCCUGACA
rnacentral:snoRNA from 1 species